rnacentral:rRNA from 1 species
CCCCACCGCUACCUACCUACCUCCCACUAACUCUAGCCUGCGGUUUAAGUUGGGGCGACUACGGAGUAAAACAAACCCUCCAAGAAAUCCAGGGCUCACACCCCACCACCAGGCACACACGCCGACAAAACACCCACAUGACCCAGUACAACUGACUAUCGAACCAAGUUACCCCAGGGAUAACAGCGCCAUCCCCCUUCAGAGUUCAUAUCAACAGGGGGGCUUACGACCUCGAUGUUGGAUCAGGACACCCCGGCGGUGCAACAGCUGCCAAAGGCCCG